UGCUUCGCGGCUUCCCGGGCACAGCGCAGGAAACCAGGCCGUCAGUCCCGUUUCUUCCCCUGCCCUAUUCGCGAGGAGCUGCAGAAGCGGCAGAAGAGGCAGCAUGUGUCCUGUUUGCAGCGCUGAAAUGACACCAGGAUGCUUGGGCACAGACGGAGGAGAGCGGAUAGUGCCCCGGUGCGCUGAAGGGCUGAACUAGGAUCACUGCUACUGUAAAGCCUUAUUGCAGGUAGCAUCAAGAGAGAAUAGGAUUUGUCGCACCAACACUGAACCAAGACUAAGCUUCAGCCCUUUAUAUGGAACUGCUGAAAGAGGAAGCUGCAGUACUGAAAGCAGUCAGUCUUGACUGCGUGAGACCAUGCCUCUCACAGAAGUGCUUCACAGUUGUGUGCAUGAUCUGGUAGGUUGGUGAGACUACCACGUUUUCCUUGGACAAGUAUCAGAACUUCAACUUGAACAAGCUGGGAUUAAGUUGUACUCAUUUUAGAAGAGCAUUCAUCCAACAUAUGGACAAGACAGUUUGAAGAAGCACACUGCUUAAACUGACAAUGAUUUAUUGUGUUUAGGAACAUUUAAUAAACACCAAUCUUUUAGCUUCAGUUUGGAAAUCCUUCCCCAUCAAAAAUCAGUAAUUUGUGUAGUUUUUUCUGGCAUAAACCCCAUUGCCAGCAAUGGAUGUAUCAGAAAAAGAAGUUAAUAAAUACAAACAGACAGCAGUUUUCUAAACAUACCUCCUCUUUUAAAGGCAUGAUACAGAUUUACUAAACAAAUAUCAAACAAGUUCUUCACAGAAGAAAAUUUUGCUACAAGCUGUCUCUAAACAUUGUUUUCUUCACUAAUGCUGGUAGUUUAUUUCAUGGAUUAUGGUAUUUUUGAACCGUAAUGAUGAAUCAUUUAAAAACAAGCCUUUCCCUCCUUUUCCUUUGCCAGAUGUAUGCUGAGACAUGUAGCUAAUACUGAACUGUGUGAAUUUAAGAGUGGUGUGCCUCUUGUUGAGCACAUCAUGGCAAACAUGAAGAAACAGCAAUAUGGUACUUUUUUUACUAGGGAUCUGAGGAAUUUAUUUUUUCAUCUUGAUUUUAAACCACUGUUCAAGUGUUAAAGGUAUCAUAUGUAAGUGUAACAGAUGUUUUGCGUAACUUUCUGUGAAGUGUAAAAACAAUGGAAGAUUCCUGUUUCUGAGGAAAAUAAUUUUCAAGUACUUAAAUUUGAAUAUCCCUCUAAACUCCAUUCAUAUCGUAUUAAAAAUGUAUAUAAAAGCAUGAAGACUACAGAAAACCAAUUAACAGAGUUAAUCUUGAAUAAGGUUUUCCACAACUGUAUUUUACAUAUAACCAAACUUCUGCUUUAGCAAAAGCAAAAAGAAUAAAAAUAAAUUCUCUCCCAAUUAUUUAUACUCAGGAAUUACCUUGCUCUGGGACAAGAUAGUUCAGUCUACAGUCCCUCUAACCCAAAGUGUACUCUUAGCUGUAUCCCUUUGUGAUUUAGCGUCUUGGAAGUUUUCAGCAAACCUCUCUCUUGCUUUAUCCCAGUUCUUUUUAUUCUUGCUCUGAACAAGCUGAACAUCUUCAAUUGAGGCUGGUCUCCUUGUACCUAAACCUGCAUGCUUCUGAUGUAACUCCAGUUGGAUCUGUCAAAUACAUGAAAUAUUGUUGUAA